rnacentral:rRNA from 1 species
AUUGAACGCUGGCGGCAGGCCUAACACAUGCAAGUCGAGCGGUAGCACAGAGAGCUUGCUCUCGGGUGACGAGCGGCGGACGGGUGAGUAAUGUCUGGGAAACUGCCUGAUGGAGGGGGAUAACUACUGGAAACGGUAGCUAAUACCGCAUAACGUCGCAAGACCAAAGUGGGGGACCUUCGGGCCUCAUGCCAUCAGAUGUGCCCAGAUGGGAUUAGCUAGUAGGUGGGGUAAUGGCUCACCUAGGCGACGAUCCCUAGCUGGUCUGAGAGGAUGACCAGCCACACUGGAACUGAGACACGGUCCAGACUCCUACGGGAGGCAGCAGUGGGGAAUAUUGCACAAUGGGCGCAAGCCUGAUGCAGCCAUGCCGCGUGUAUGAAGAAGGCCUUCGGGUUGUAAAGUACUUUCAGCGAGGAGGAAGGCGUUAAGGUUAAUAACCUUAGCGAUUGACGUUACUCGCAGAAGAAGCACCGGCUAACUCCGUGCCAGCAGCCGCGGUAAUACGGAGGGUGCAAGCGUUAAUCGGAAUUACUGGGCGUAAAGCGCACGCAGGCGGUCUGUCAAGUCGGAUGUGAAAUCCCCGGGCUCAACCUGGGAACUGCAUUCGAAACUGGCAGGCUAGAGUCUUGUAGAGGGGGGUAGAAUUCCAGGUGUAGCGGUGAAAUGCGUAGAGAUCUGGAGGAAUACCGGUGGCGAAGGCGGCCCCCUGGACAAAGACUGACGCUCAGGUGCGAAAGCGUGGGGAGCAAACAGGAUUAGAUACCCUGGUAGUCCACGCCGUAAACGAUGUCGACUUGGAGGUUGUGCCCUUGAGGCGUGGCUUCCGGAGCUAACGCGUUAAGUCGACCGCCUGGGGAGUACGGCCGCAAGGUUAAAACUCAAAUGAAUUGACGGGGGCCCGCACAAGCGGUGGAGCAUGUGGUUUAAUUCGAUGCAACGCGAAGAACCUUACCUACUCUUGACAUCCAGAGAACUUAGCAGAGAUGCUUUGGUGCCUUCGGGAACUCUGAGACAGGUGCUGCAUGGCUGUCGUCAGCUCGUGUUGUGAAAUGUUGGGUUAAGUCCCGCAACGAGCGCAACCCUUAUCCUUUGUUGCC